GAUGAACGCUAGCGGCAGGCUUAACACAUGCAAGUCGAGGGGUAUAGUUCUUCGGAAUUAGAGACCGGCGCACGGGUGCGUAACGCGUAUGCAAUCUACCUUUCACAGAGGGAUAGCCCCAGAGAAAUUUGGAUUAAUACCUCAUAGUAUAGCAGUUUCGCAUGAAACCACUAUUAAAGUCACAACGGUGAAAGAUGAGCAUGCGUCCCAUUAGCUAGUUGGUAAGGUAACGGCUUACCAAGGCAACGAUGGGUAGGGGUCCUGAGAGGGAGAUCCCCCACACUGGUACUGAGACACGGACCAGACUCCUACGGGAGGCAGCAGUGAGGAAUAUUGGACAAUGGCGGCAAGCCUGAUCCAGCAAUGCCGCGUGCAGGAUGAAGGGCCUUC
rnacentral:rRNA from 1 species